UACGGAGGGUGCAAGCGUUCUCCGGAUUUACUGGGUUUAAAGGGUGCGUAGGUGGGCAGGAAAGUCAGUGGUGAAAGCCCCGGGCUUAACUUGGGAAUUGCGCUCGAAACUACUUUGCUGGAGUGUGGCAGAGGAAGGUGGAAUUCCACGUGUAGCGGUGAAAUGCGUAGAGAUGUGGAGGAACACCAAUGGCGAAGGCAGCCUUCUGGGCCAACACUGACGCUCAUGCACGAAAGCGUGGGGAGCAAACAGG
rnacentral:rRNA from 1 species